rnacentral:rRNA from 1 species
UACAGGGGGGGGCAAGCGUUGUUCGGAAUUACUGGGCGUAAAGGGCUCGUAGGCGGCCAACUAAGUCACACGUGAAAUCCCCAGGCUUAACCUGGGAACUGCGUGUGAUACUGGAUGGCUUGAAUUCGGGAGAGGGAUGCAGAAUUCCAGGUGUAGCGGUGAAAUGCGUAGAUAUCUGGAGGAAUACCGGUGGCGAAGGCGGCAUCCUGGGCCAUUACUGACGCUGAGGAGCGAAAGCGUGGGGAGCGAACAGG